GGGUCAGUAGGUUGGUCGUGCCACCGGUACGUACUGGUCUCACUGAUUCCUCCUUCCUGAAGAACCGUAAUGCCAUUAAUUUGGUGUUGCGGGGAAACAGGACUGUUACUUUGAGGAAAUUAGAGUGUUUAAAGCAAGCUAACGCUUGAAUACAUUAGCAUGGAAUAAUGAAAUAGGACGAUCGAUCCUAUUUUGUUGGUUUCUAGGAUUGACGUA
rnacentral:rRNA from 1 species